ACUUCCUACCCUCGCUCGGCAUGACUGUUGUAGUGUAAAAUUAGUGCAAAAAAGAUAAGUUUGGGGUAGUAAUCCUUAGAAGAAAUUUUGAAAAAGGGGCAAGUGCAACAAAAAGAAAAGAAAAAUUAUGUAGAAGCAUCUGCUUCUACCGGGAAAAAAAAUAAAAAAUAGAAAUGAAGUAUAAGCACUUGCCUAGGUCAAAGACUCAUACAUUAAUGUGAUACUCAAAAGAAAAAAAAAUUGAGUGAAAAAGAGUCAAUUUGGACAACACCCCAUAAAAUAAUUUAUGCACAAAGAAAAACAACAACAUGAAUGCCGAGUUCUAAACCUUUGUCAUCCAUUUUCUUGUCU
rnacentral:lncRNA from 1 species